rnacentral:rRNA from 1 species
AGAGUUUGAUCAUGGCUCAGAACGAACGCUGGCGGCAGGCUUAAUACAUGCAAGUGAACGCACCGCAAGGUGAGUGGCAGACGGGUGAGUAACGCGUGGGACCUUCCUAGUAGUCCUGGAAUAACUUCGGGAACCGAAGCUAAUCCGGAUAGCCCUUCGGGGGAAAGAUUUAUCGCUAUUAGAUGGGCCCGCGUCGGAUUAGCUAGUUGGUGGGUAAUGCCUACCAAGGCGCGAUCCGUAGCUGGUCUGAGAGGAUGAUCAGCCACACUGGGCUGAGACACGGCCCAGACUCCUACGGGAGGCAGCAGUAGGGAAUAUUGGACAAUGGGCGAAAGCCUGAUCCAGCCAUGCCGCGUGAGUGAAGAAGGCCUUAGGGUUGUAAAGCUCUUUUAGCGGGGAAGAUAAUGACGGUACCCGCAGAAUAAGCCCCGGCUAACUUCGUGCCAGCAGCCGCGGUAAUACGAAGGGGGCUAGCGUUGUUCGGAAUCACUGGGCGUAAAGCGCACGUAGGCGGCUGAUUAGUCAGGGGUGAAAUCCCGGGGCUCAACCUCGGAAUUGCCUUUGAUACUGUCAGUCUAGAGUCCGGGAGAGGUGAGUGGAAUUCCUAGUGUAGAGGUGAAAUUCGUAGAUAUUAGGAAGAACCCAGUGGCGAAGGCGGCUCACUGGCCCGGUACUGACGCUCAGGUGCGAAAGCGUGGGGAGCAAACAGGAUUAGAUACCCUAGUAGUCC